UACGUAGGGGGCAAGCGUUGUCCGGAUUUAUUGGGCGUAAAGAGCGUGUAGGCGGCCUUACAGGUCAGCUGUGAAAACUCGAGGCUCAACCUCGAGACGUCGGUUGAAACCGUAUGGCUAGAGUCCGGAAGAGGAGAGUGGAAUUCCCGGUGUAGCGGUGAAAUGCGCAGAUAUCGGGAAGAACACCCGUGGCGAAGGCGGCUCUCUGGAGCGGUACUGACGCUGAGACGCGAAAGCGUGGGGAGCGAACAGG
rnacentral:rRNA from 1 species